GGGUGUCGGAUUCACGGUGAAUUCGUUAGGGUAACUGCGCAGGUCGGGCCGCCGCG
rnacentral:ncRNA from 12 species